UUAGUGGCCGCCCCCGCGCCAAAACCCCCCGCCGCGGCCGCCGCCGCCGCCGCUGGCCGGAGCGCCUCUUCGCCAUGGCGUCGCUCGCGCCCUGUCUCCUCCGCCGCCGACCCCUCCGCUCCGCCGCCGCCGCGGCUCUAGUCCAUCCAAGCGGAUCCUGGAUGCGGCCGCGCGGUGCGGGUUCUUCCCCGCGUCCUCCGGGCGCGUCGCCGUUGUUCGAGCCUCCCCGCGUGGUGUCCGAGCGUUGGAUGGACGGGCGAGGAUGGUGGUUCCGGUUCCGCCAGCCCGUGCGGCACGGGAGCACGGCGGUCACGCUGGACACGGGCGGUGGAUUCGCCAGGUUCUCCGUCGGCGGCGACGCGGGCACGAAGCAGGGGGCCGGCCGGAAGGGGCAGCCUCCGGCGAAGGCGGCGAAGAAGAAGAUGUCGAGGAAGGCCAAGGUUAACCAGCUGAAGUGGUACCGCCUCAAGGCCAAGAAGAAGAUGAAAUCGCCCAAUCCUGAAGUCAGGAUUAGAUACAAACUCGAGAAGGCGAAGAGGAAAGAAGAAUGGCUGAUUGAGAAGCUGAGGAAGUAUGAGGUCCCGAGAUCUCCGGAGCCGGUUCAUGACCCUGAGAUUCUAACCGAGGAGGAGAAAUUUUACCUCAAACGAACUGGCGAGAAGAAAAAGAACUAUGUUCCUGUUGGAAGGAGAGGGGUGUUUGGCGGCGUGGUUCUUAACAUGCACCUUCAUUGGAAGAAACAUGAGACUGUGAAGGUGAUCUGCAAACCUUGUCGGCCUGGCCAGGUCUAUGAGUACGCCGAGGAGCUGACCCGGCUGAGCAAAGGCACGGUCAUUGAUAUCAAACCCAACAAUACCAUUAUCUUUUAUCGUGGAAAGAACUAUGUGCAGCCAAAGGUUAUGUCACCUCCAGACACUCUCUCAAAGCAGAAGGCCCUCGAGAAAUAUAGGUAUGAACAAUCCCUUGAACAUACCAGUCAAUUUAUUGAGAAGCUAGAGAAGGAGCUUGAAGAUUACCAGAAGCAUGUUGCUUUAUUCAAGAACCGUGGGGAAACUUUAGAAACAAUCAGCAGCGAAGAAACUAAUGUUGAUGACCUUACAAGUAGCUCAGAUACUGAAUGAGCUAUCUCUUUCAACCAUGAUGCCAUAGAUCAUUUCGUAUUGAAGGUUUGAUCAGAGCAUACUCAUUGUUCAUUACAAAUGCUACUCAGUUUUGGUGCAAUAAUGAUCAUCAGCUUUCUUCAAUAGUUCAGAUGGCUUCCUUGGAGCUUGAAUCUUGAAACAUCAAAACUUGGGGCUGACUACUUGAAAGAGGUCUACAGAAAACUUGGGCCAUCUACUCAAUUGAAAACUGGCCAUGGCCGGCUCCUAGACAAAUCUAUCUGCAGUGUUGUUUGCUGUUAAGCUCCAGUGACAUAACGCCUGCAACUGCAAGCAGAUCCCAUGUGGUGCCUUUCAGCUUCACUGGGGAUGCAUUCCUAGCGUCUUCUUUUUUCUCUGUUAGGUAUUUAAGCCCCAACCAUUGACAUGAUCUGGUUGUAUCCGCCUCAACAGGGCCCUGAUUGAUGAAGCUGAUGCCAUACCAAUCGACUCCAAAUGAUUCCUAAAUGUCACUCGUUGGUUCCAGUCCUUGUCAUGGUGCAUAAAGCAAGGUAAUCAGACGAAUCAGUCAUCACAUAGAACCGAAUAUUGUGCAGAGUUUAGCAGCAUCUGCUUGGCAUGAUUACUGGCAUCCUAUGAGCUAGUGUAACUGUAGACCUGAUCAUCUGUGGAGUUGUUCACCACUUAGCGUUGUGUAACAUGGACUCUGAAAAUCAUGUGUCACCAAAUUGUGCUACUUACAGGCAUGAGAUUCGCUGUCAACAGAUAUCAGAGGCUACAUUUGUUGCUUGCCGUUAUUGUCUUGGAGCAGAGAUUCUGAAUCAUGAAGUUAGCUUAUUUA